GUUUUGGCUGUGAGGAUGAACAUUCAGCUUAUGCCAGUUCUGCUUCAGAAAAUUCCUGAUUGAUACAGCUGUUAUGUAUUCUGAGCCCCUAAC